GUGCCAGCAGCCGCGGUAAUACGAAGGGUGCAAGCGUUACUCGGAAUUACUGGGCGUAAAGCGUGCGUAGGUGGUUGUUUAAGUCUGUCGUGAAAGCCCUGGGCUCAACCUGGGAAUGGCGAUGGAAACUGGGCGACUAGAGUGUGGCAGAGGGUAGUGGAAUUCCUGGUGUAGCAGUGAAAUGCGUAGAGAUCAGGAGGAACAUCCGUGGCGAAGGCGACUGCCUGGGCCAACACUGACACUGAGGCACGAAAGCGUGGGGAGCAAACAGGAUUAGAUACCCUGGUAGUCC
rnacentral:rRNA from 1 species